rnacentral:rRNA from 1 species
CUUGAACUUUAUAAGAGGUCCAGCCUGCCCAGUGACUCUGUUCAACGGCCGCGGUAUCCUAACCGUGCGAAGGUAGCGUAAUCACUUGUUCUUUAAAUGAGGACUAGUAUGAAUGGCACUACGAGGGUUAUACUGUCUCCUUUCUCUAAUCAGUGAAACUAAUUUUCCCGUGAAGAAGCGGGGAUAUACUUAUAAGACGAGAAGACCCUAUGGAGCUUUAAACAACUCAGCAAUUUCUCCUAAACUCACAAAUUUCAGAAUGUUCAUUUUUUAAGAAAUAUGUCUGCAAGUUUUUGGUUGGGGUGACCAUGGAGAAUAAUAUAACCUCCAUAUUGAAUGAAUUUUUUUUAAGCUAAAAACUACCAAUUGAAGCAUCAAUACACUGACAUUUAUUGACCCAAUAUAUUUGAUCAACGAACCAAGUUACCCUAGGGAUAACAGCGCAAUCUACUUCAAGAGCCCCUAUCGACAAGUGGGUUUACGACCUCGAUGUUGGAUCAGGGUAUCCCAGUGGCGCAGCC